GCUCUCUCAACUACUGCAGACCAAAGCCAUUUAGAAGAGAGAUUCUCUUCAAAUGACUCUGCUGCACACGUGUUCUCCGGCAAAGUGCAUGUUGGUCCAACCUGUGAUGAUGUUUAACUACAGCUUGACCUCCGUGGUAAAAGAGUAGGGAAACGUGGAACCGAGAAAGCGUUUGAUGGCUCUCCUAUAAGAAGAAGGAAAAGAAGAAGAAAUAAAUGAAAACUUCACACAUGCUUCUCCUUUCAUCACAAAA
ensembl:lncRNA